GGUUGACCUCGGAUCAGGUUAUGGAUUA
rnacentral:rRNA from 1 species